rfam:Schistosoma margrebowiei strain Zambia genome assembly, scaffold: SMRZ_scaffold0001259
GGUCUUCUGUAUCCGUGCUGAGACUUCGUCACACACCAGAACACAAGGGCUGAUGAGGAUUCCCAGAUAAGUUAAGCG